GUUCCGAGAGGAAGUGACUUUUUUUAUAGUUGUCUUCUGUCUGUAUGCGACAGUGGUCUUUUGCAUGUUAGAAACCUUAGAAACCUUUUCGAAUUACAACUUCAGCUUUUAUUCAUAAAUUAUUUUAUUGAAUCUAUGUGAUUUCUAUAAAUUAAAUGGUUAUUUAAAAGUAUAAUAAUUCAAAGUCGUAAUUUUCACUUUAAUCACUUUAGUUCCGUCUCAAGUCUACAACUGUGACAUUAUUAAAAAAAAAUAAACGUCAAAAAUUUUUCAUCGAAAAAACGUGUUUUUCUACGAUUUCUAAUUGUUUCUAAUUGAAAUCAAUAAUUUCUCAGUCAUUAUUAUUAAGAACUACAUGUGCAUGGAUUGCCUGUUGGAUUGAUGUUUGUUUACGAAAAAAAUUCUCUCAAGUAAGUUAAUAAGUUAAUAUCGAACUUCGAACUUAUAAAGUGUUAAGCAGCAAUUACAAUAAAAGUGCUUGCUGUGGAAUCACUGGUGCUGCUCAUUAUUGUCAACUGUUACUUAAAAAGGUUAUGCCAUGCAUUAAAUUAGGAAGAUUUGUGUUGGAUGAAUUACCCAGAUAACAAUUAAAACAACUUCUAUUUAUAAGAACAUUCGAUUGGUGGAAUCCAGAUUCUGUGAAUAUAUAUUAAGUAAUUGAUUGACAAGUACACAUUUGACAAGGUGGUGAGAAACAUGUAGAUCUGGCCUGCUUACAGUGGAGUGGACAGAACCAACGUGAGAGUGAACGUGUGAAUUUAUGGAGAACAUUAAACUAUUUUACUAUAAGUCUUAUCGCAACAUAUUUUAUAUGAGUUACAUACAAAUGUCAAUCCGUGAGUACAUAAUGUAAAAACUAAAACAAUGUACUGUUAUCACAACAGUAACUGUAAUCUUUAAAAAUCCAGUAGUUUUAUUGCUUAUUGAUUUUCGUAAACAAAAUAUUUCAUGUUAUAUUUCAUCAAUAAAGUUUUAUUUUAUA